GCAACUUUUGCUAGUUUUUUUAAUAGCUAACAUACAAUAGCUAACGUACAGUAGAGUAUUAGCUAUGAGUCAAUGAGACGAAGUUUUUGACAGUACAGUAGUUGAGUGUUUGGAAACGUUUUUCAACUGAACUAUACUGGAGCUCUGCAUUUCACCACGUUAAGUACUGCAAUCCCAUAGUAAAAGUAAAUUAAAGCAGUUCCAAAAUAAUCCAAGGGGUGGCAGUCUGAAUUCCCAAUUAACAGGUGUUAUAUUGCGUGCAAGACAGAAUGUAUUUCAUGCGGAUUCAUCAGGAUUCUUUUGAAAUCUUUCUUUUCUGAUUAGCUAGAAUGAGUUCUAGAAUGCGUAUUGGUUUCUGAUAUCGGGACAGUAGAAUGGACAUUCAUUUCUGAUAUACGGGAUAUAAUAAUGUAAAAGGCCGCAAAUCCACUAUGUAAUAAGUACGUUUAUCCUGCACACGGCAGAGCACUGGCGUAGCGUGGUGACGCCGGGUCGGGGUGCAAUCUUUUGUAAAUUAAUAGGCAAAUCCAGCGACAAUAGCUUCACCGAGUGUUGCCAGGUGGGAUGGUUUCCCAUUUCCCAUAAAAUUUAGCUAUUUUUAAUUACAUUGUGCGUGCAAACAUGGCCUUGGGCGAGUCGAUUUACAGAUAGUACAGUAUGUUAAUAUGAGUGACAUAUUUUAAACCAAUGGUGGCUAAUCAAAUCAUUUUCUUUUGCAGAAUUCGUUCAUAAUGACAACACGGUUGGACAGGGAGGCAGUGGAGAACAUGUUCUUAAGGGAGAGGAUUUGGAUUCAGGAGAGACUCCAUAACCUUGAGGAGGUUUUAAUGAAUGAACUUGAUCGAAGGUUCUCUAGAUUUCACAAGGAAUGGAGCAAGGACAAGAAAAGGAGGACAAAAUCUGAGCAGAGGAGUAAAGAAACUCAGACCGAGAAAGUAAUAAUCGGAGAUGAUAGUUGGGAGACUGAGAGAGCUUCUGUGAUAAACAAAGUGGACAGUGAACACAGGAUGAGAAAAGAGAGCCUUGAAGAGAGGCAGAGAGAGACUGAGGCCGAGAGGAGGAAAGUAGACUUUGAACAGAGCAUGAGAGAAGAUGGCCUUAUGGAAAGAGUUAGGGACAAUGUUAAAAUAGAGUGUCCAAAGGAAUAUGAUUCCCAAAAGCAGGACAUAAAAGUUAAACAGGUGGAUGAAAAUGUUUUAAUGCAAGACCUAGAGCAUCUGGAUAAUAACAUGGAUGGCGGAAUGAAGCCAGAGAGUGUAGGAGAAACAAAGGGAAAAGAUAGACAGACAGACGUUAUGAAAGAACUCCCAGAGGUUAAUCAUUCCACAACGUUGGACCCCACCAGUAACGAGGUUGACCUUAAAGUUUUACCACAAGAUCUUGAGCACCCCAAAAAUGACAUGGAUGGGGGCAAGGAUUUGUCAAUUCAAGUGGUACCGCUUCUGCGAAAUGGGAAUGUCAGAAUAAUAAACAGGAAAGGACAUUUUAAAAAGGAAGACAAACCAAAGAACACAAUAGACCAACGUCAAAAGGAACAAAAUGCCAAAGUGUAUGUUAACAACACAAGCACACUAUUGAAGGAAAAGACUGACAUGGAUUUGUCUACCCUACCACUACCAGUACUGAGAUGUAGUGAUGUGGGUAUAAUGAACUGGAGAUCAGAUGUUAAAACCAAACACAAGUCAAAGACAACCUGGCAAUAUCUGAAGGAAACAAAAGCAUAUGACAAGUUAAAGAAAAAAGUAGACACACAAGAAAAAUACAAGACUGAUCACCCUGACAACAAAGAUGGCAAAGAGGAGAUGCAGAGGACAAAUGUAGCAGUCCUUGGUGAUAUCAGUGAGGACUUUAUCAACUCAGGCUUUUUAAGCAAGCCGGAAACUGAGCACCAGCCUGACAGGCAGUGUAAGUCUGAAACAGUUCUUGACAAACUGAGGAAUGCAAUUAACCAACACAAAUCCAGACGAAAGCAGAAAAGGAUAGAAAACCAUCUGAAACUCCUUAAUGCGCCAAUGGAAAAGCAGCAAGAAAUAGACGCUUUCACAACGUUAAAGAUAUUUCAAGAUCCUAAAAUGAAGGUGACAAAACCAGCCAAAUGCAAAGAUUUUUCAAUAUUUCUGGCUGAAUCAACCGCGCUGUAGAGUCCCUGUUCAUGGAAGACGACUGAAAUCUGCCACGUAGUUCUGGAACUCAUGUUUUUUGUUGGUGAACAAGAUCAAAUAAACCUGGCUUGUUGUGAUUGAUGAAAGUGUACAGUCUUAUGUAUGUUAAUAACUAAUAAUUGACAAAAUGCUUAUUGUGGACUAGCUAUAAUUAGAGACCUGUAAUUAGAGCUAAAAUACAAAUAUUUGUUUAAACCCUUCAUACUUGUAUUCUGCAUAGCCCCAGAAGUAGCAUGAAAGAAUAUUUAUUCUGAAGACUUUAAAAUUAAUUUGAGGGAACUAAAUACUUGAAAAUGAAUCAAAGGUAUACAGCUUUUAGUCCAAGUGACGUCAAACUCAGACUGGUCUUUUCACCGGUCAUGGCUAGAACGGAUACAGGCUUUCGUUGUUUUAGUGAAAAAUACAAUAAUGUAAUGUGAUUUAGCAGUCAGAAG
rnacentral:lncRNA from 1 species